rnacentral:rRNA from 1 species
GACGAACGCUGGCGGCGUGCUUAACACAUGCAAGUCGAGCGGUAAGGCCCUUUCGGGGGUACACGAGCGGCGAACGGGUGAGUAACACGUGGGUGACCUGCCCUCAGCUCUGGGAUAAGCCUGGGAAACUGGGUCUAAUACCGGAUAUGACCUCCUAUCGCAUGGUGGGUGGUGGAAAGUUUUUUCGGCCGGGGAUGGGCCCGCGGCCUAUCAGCUUGUUGGUGGGGUUAUGGCCUACCAAGGCGACGACGGGUAGCCGGCCUGAGAGGGCGAGAGACCACACUGCGAGUGGGACACGGCCCAGACUACUGCGGGAGGAAGCAGUGGGGAAGAUUGCGCAAGGGGAGAACGCCUGACGCAGCGACGCCGCGUGGGGGAUGACGGCCUUCGGGUUGUAAACCUCUUUCGACCUUGACGAAGGCCUUCGGGUAGACGGUAGGGGUAGAAGAAGCACCGGCCAACUACGUGCCAGCCGCCGCCGUAA